GGAGAGAUCAAGGGCUGUUCUCAUCACUCUCACCUGCGUUUUGCUCUCCAGGAUUUCUGGAGCAGAAGUGGAGAUGAGAGUCAGACCAGGAGACGUCGUCAUUCUCUACAGUGACUGUCUUUCGACUACAUUAUCUACAUUUUGGUUUAGAAACUCCUCAAAUGAGCACCAACCUCCUCUCAUUAUAUCGCAAGACGGUUUGAUGCAGGUCACUUUUUCAAAUCACGCUUUUUUGUAUAACCACUUCAACCGAACUCAUGAUCUGCUGGUGAAGAACGUCACUGAAUCAGAGCUGGGUCUGUACUACUGCGGUCUCAGAUAUAGGACGUUAAUCAAUGAAACUCCAGCUUUAAACACGAAGGAUGUUUUUCAUUAUGGAAACAGAACCACUCGACUCUCUCUCCUAGACUCGACCCCCUCCACCCCUCCUGUCUCAGACUGUAGCGUCUGCUGGAAGCUGCUGGUCAGUGUGUGUCCUGUGUGUGUUCUCCUCUCCUCCACCUGUGUGUGCUGCAUCUACAGACACACAGCUAAAGAAAAGAAGAAAGAUGGUGAGGGGGCUGGGGGAAAUAAAGAGAAUCCAAAAAAUACAAACAGUAAUAAGGAACAGUUCUCCAAAAGCCAAACUCAAGGAGGUGAUGUCUGUUAUGCUUCACUGGACCUGCCAAGCCAAGGACCGAAUUGGCCGAAGAAGAAGCAGAGAGAUCAGAGCUCUGAUUUCACGACAUAUUCUGAGGUUAAAACGGCUAAAAUGUCGAACUUCUGAGGACAUUUUUUUGACAUUUGGGAGAUCUUGUAAGAAAGAUUCGAUUUCAUGGCUUCAUCUCUUCCGUUCCGGGAUCCUGCUGUCUUCCACUCCGUCCUUUCAUCUCCUCCCCAAAGGCGCUCCUGUGGCACGGUUCAGAUUAGACUUCCUCAUCUUACACUCUGUUUUACUUGACCCUUUGCCUUGCAGUUCUAUGGUCACAUGUUGUAAAUAGUCAGUGGGCACCAGGUGUAGGGACUGGCUGCCUUUUUGCUUGGGAAUGGGGUUUGUCUUUGAGUGUGCCUAGUCUAGGAUAUAGGUGAGCAUUCUGCCUUUGUUGUGUUUUUUGUUUAUGCAUAGGGUAGUUCAUGGUUGUCCUGGAGCUUGUGCUGGGUUUUGUUUGUUGUGCUGGCCUGGGUCACUCCUGGCGUCUGUUUGCUGGUGUUCUGUGUACAAAUGAAAAGAUUUUCUAAACCUGA